rnacentral:rRNA from 1 species
GAUGAACGCUGGCGGCGUGCCUAAUACAUGCAAGUCGAGCGAACAGACGAGGAGCUUGCUCCUCUGACGUUAGCGGCGGACGGGUGAGUAACACGUGGAUAACCUACCUAUAAAACUGGGAUAACUUCGGGAAACCGGAGCUAAUACCGGAUAAUAUAUUGAACCGCAUGGUUCAAUAGUGAAAGACGGUUUUGCUGUCACUUAUAGAUGGAUCCGCGCCGCAUUAGCUAGUUGGUAAGGUAACGGCUUACCAAGGCAACGAUGCGUAGCCGACCUGAGAGGGUGAUCGGCCACACUGGAACUGAGACACGGUCCAGACUCCUACGGGAGGCAGCAGUAGGGAAUCUUCCACAAUGGGCGAAAGCCUGACGGAGCAACGCCGCGUGAGUGAUGAAGGUCUUCGGAUCGUAAAACUCUGUUAUUAGGGAAGAACAAAUGUGUAAGUAACUAUGCACGUCUUGACGGUACCUAAUCAGAAAGCCACGGCUAACUACGUG